rnacentral:rRNA from 1 species
AGGGUUUGAUCCUGGCUCAGAAUCAACGCUGGCGGCGUGCCUCAGACAUGCAAGUCGAACGAUUAAAGCUCCCCUCGGGGAGUGCAUAAAGUGGCGCACGGGUGAGUAACACGUAAGUAAUCUACCCUCGGGUGGGGAAUAACAUCGGGAAACCGAUGCUAAUACCGCAUAAUGCAGCGGCACCGCAAGGUGACAGUUGUUAAAGAUUUAUUGCCUGGGGAGGAGCUUGCGGCAGAUUAGCUUGUUGGUAAGGUAACGGCUUACCAAGGCUACGAUCUGUAUCCGGUCUAAGAGGACGGUCGGACACACUGACACUGAAUAACGGGUCAGACUCCUACGGGAGGCAGCAGUCGGGAAUUUUGGGCAAUGGGGGAAACCCUGACCCAGCAACGCCGCGUGAAGGAUGAAGUAUUUCGGUAUGUAAACUUCGAAAGAAUAGGAAGAAUUAAUGACGGUACUAUUUAUAAGGUCCGGCUAACUACGUGCCAGCAGCCGCGGUAAUACGUAGGGACCAAGCGUUGUUCGGAUUUACUGGGCGUAAAGGGCGCGUAGGCGGCGCGGUAAGUCACUUGUGAAAUCUCUGAGCUUAACUCAGAACGGCCAAGUGAUACUGCAGUGCUAGAGUGUGGAAGGGGCAAUCGGAAUUCUUGGUGUAGCGGUGAAAUGCGUAGAUAUCAAGAGGAACACCUGAGGUGAAGACGGGUUGCUGGGCCAACACUGACGCUGAGGCGCGAAAGCCAGGGGAGCAAACGGGAUUAGAUACCCCGGUAGUCCUGGCCCUAAACGAUGAAUACUUGGUGUCUGGGGUUUUAAUGCUCCGGGUGCCGUCGCUAACGUUUUUAGUAUUCCGCCUGGGGAGUACGCUCGCAAGAGUGAAACUCAAAGGAAUUGACGGGGACCCGCACAAGCGGUG